AACGGCCAUACCAAGCUGAAAACAUUGGUUCUCGUCCGAUCACCGAAAUUAAGCAUUAUGGAGCGUAGUCAGUACUUGGGAGCGU